CUAACCUAACUUUGCAUCGAUUUCAUGCUACUUCGAUCUUUUCAUCAAACAGCUUACUUUAUCACCUUUAACUAUUUGUAGAAGUUGCAGAGAUUUGAAGUUUAUUCGAGUUGUUCUGCUACCUUGAUGCUCAUAUAUUCUAGAUUGUUGGGAAACUAAUACAGGCUUUUCCUCCACUUCUUUGUCACCCUGCACUCAUCUUCACCAUGGCUGAAUACGUAGUCCUUGUCCGUAUGAAAGAUGUAUCAACGACAAACAUUCGAGGACUAAAUCUUGGAAGUUUGUUCGGCCGUCAAUAUUAUCGUUCUUAUCGUGGUUUCUACGUUCCUCCUACUUCUUUGAAUCCUUAGGGAUGAUUUUGCUCAUGUGUUCUUCGGAAAAUUGGCCGAUGCUAGAAAAGCCGAAUCCUAUUAUUCUAGAAAUCCAGCUGAAUCCUACACUGUCAAGGUUUUAGACUUCUCCGCAUCUGGCGUAUGGACAGGACCUCCCAUUGUUGUUCCUCCUGCUCGAAGCGCACCUAGCCCUGUAUCUCUUGUUCCCCAUGCUCCAAGCGCACCUAGCCCUGUAUCUCUUGUUCCCCAUGCUCCAAGCGCUCCCACCUCCGGAUCCUCGGUUGAAGUUGAAGGUACUGCUUCCUUUGCCUCUCUCACCUCUCUCUUUUGGGAUUACACUUAUUAGAAGUCGAAGAGAAAGUGUGCAGAAGAAACCACAAAGGGCAACUUAGUCAAAGUAAUGUGAAAGAGAAUUUAAUUAA